AAAGAGGCCUUGGAGGAGAGGAUCAACAGCUGCACGGCAGAGGAAAUCUAGCCUGGCUUGGUGGUGGAUGGAUAAACAUGGAUCCACUGGACACAUGGAAUCAGAACAAAAGUUUAUCUCCUUGUAUAACCUCCUCGUUAUAAUUACUGAACAAAAUAACAGCAAUAAGACAUGACAAAAGUUGAAAAUGAGUGCUUGCUGCAGGGACUGCUGUGCAUUUUCUGACGCAUUCACAGGUUAGAAACAUGAAGAAAAAGAGCAAAUGUGUAAGUC